rnacentral:pre_miRNA from 1 species
GUGCCUACUGAACUGAUAACAGUUACUAUAUUACAUACUGGCUCAGUUCAGCAGGAACAG